rnacentral:rRNA from 1 species
UACGUAGGUGGCAAGCGUUGUCCGGAAUUAUUGGGCGUAAAGCGCGCGCAGGCGGUCCUUUAAGUCUGAUGUGAAAGCCCACGGCUCAACCGUGGAGGGUCAUUGGAAACUGGGGGACUUGAGUGCAGAAGAGGAAAGCGGAAUUCCCGGUGUAGCGGUGAAAUGCGCAGAUAUCGGGAAGAACACCCGUGGCGAAGGCGGCUCUCUGGGACGGUACUGACGCUGAGACGCGAAAGCGUGGGGAGCGAACAGG